ensembl:lincRNA
GUGUGUGAGUCUGUACACUGCAUCUGGAGAGUGUUGGCAGCGCUUCAGUUUCUCCACAUGUGUUUAUGUUACACUCUUAUUCCACAAUGGAUUCACUUGAUUAACGCCAAAGCCUGUGAUACUGAUGCACAUCUGAUUAUUCAGCUUUUUAUUCUUAAUAAAUCUGCAACUAUUUCUAAAACUCUCUCCACAUGGUCAUUAUGGGGGAUUGUGUGUAGAAUGUUGAGGAAAUCAAAUUUGGAAUACGGCUGUAACAUAAACACAUGGAGACAAAGUCAAGCCGGAUGCAGUGUACUUGUGUGUGUGAGUGGGUGUUUGUGUUUGUUGGUGUGUUAAACCCUGUAUUAAUAUACAAAUGUCCCCACAAAUAUAUCAAAACCAGUAACUGUAACUUUAUGGGGACAUGUUCUGGUCCUCAUGAGGCACACAGGGCUGAUGAAUGGAGGAGUGUGGAGAUGAAGGAGUGCGGAGUGUGUGCUGUGAGGGGUGAGGAGAGAAUAUACAGUCUGUACAGCACAAACGUCAGCUGUGUGUGUGUGUGUGUGUGUUUGAUCCUCAGCUAUGCCUCAAAGCCCAGUGAGGACUACGAGGACCCUCAGGAUGUGGAGGGCAUCCGUGCGGCUCGGGAGAAUCUGGGCGACUGUAAGCUGAAGUCUGCAGAGGACUUCACCGUUCCUGAACACCUGAGGAUGAACGUGGAGAAGAAGAGAGCGCAGCUGCUGGAGCUGGAGAGGAAGGUCAACACACACACACACACACACACACACACACACAUCAAAGCAUUUCGAGCGGAGUGUAUGCCAGUGUCUUUGAGCAGCUCGUGCGUCUGUGUCCUGCAGAUCUUUGAGCAGAAGUCUGAGAUGAACCUGCGUGUGCUGGCGCUGCGGGACCAGAAGGUGGCGCUGCUGUCUGAGCUGCAGGCGCAGGUGGAGCAGCUGCAGGCCGUCCAGCAGACCCUGCCGCUCCAGAAGCACCGCCCGCUGCCCGCGCUGCCCGUCCUGCUGCCCGCCGAGGUGCCCGAGAGGAGGCACCGCUACACCCGCGCCACCCUGGAGCGCUUCAACACGCUGAGACUGCAGGAGGAGCAGGACAUCCUGGAGCUGCUGGAGGCGCAGGACACACACACAGAGGAGGACACACACACCCAGAGCCAGGACACACACGCGGUGGAGGACACACACUCUCAGCAGGAGGAGCUGACACUGCUGGAGGAGCAGAUGAGGGAGAUGGAGGAGGCCAGGGGACUGAACCUGCAGGAGCAGCUGCUUACACAGGUCACACACACACACACACACACGCACACACACACACACACACACACACUGACGGCUCUGUGUGUGUCACUGCAGAUGCAGGACAGUGUGUGUCGCUUCGAUGCGGAGCUGUGUGUUCUGCGUCAUGAGAAGCAGCAGCUGGACGUGAGUCUGAAACUGGCGGACCUCCGACACGUGACGCUGUUCGAGGAGCUGCUGCUGCUAAGGGACUUCCAGAAGAGGGAGGAGAAGCUGACCGAGAGACUGCGCACAUACCGGCAGGAGGAGGACGACAUACAGGUCAGUGUGUGUGUGUGUGUGUGUGUGUGUAUCUUGUAUUCUGUAGGUUGUGGGGCCCAAAUGUCCCCACAAGUAUGGCAUUACCAGUACACGUUAACCUUGUGGGGACAUUUUUUAGUCUCUAUGAGGAAAAGGGCUCAUAAAUCAGACAGAAUAAGUAUUGUGUGUGUGUGUGUGUGUGUGUGUGUGUGUCAGGGCCGCAUGCGUGAGUGUCAGCGUCAGAUGGAGCUGAGGAAGCGUGAUGUUCAGCGUCUGCAGAACAGAGAGAAGAGCAUCUCCACCUCCUUCCAGACGUCUCUGGGGGAGAACCAGCGCUUCGAGGAGUUUCUGACCCGCGUCUUCAAGAAGAAGAUCAGGAGGACCAAGAAGAAAGAGACACACACCGCUCAAGAUGGAGAUCAGUCUGAGGAUGAAGAGGACAGUGAUGAAGACUCUGAUGAAGACUCAGACGCAGAGGAUGAGGACGACUAUGAGGAGUCUGAGGCUGGAGCUGCACUGGACGACACUGUGUGUCCACCGAGUAAGAUCAACACACACACACACACCCACACACACACAGACACAUAUACAAGUUUAUUUUAUGUGUGUGUGUGUGUUUACAUGCAUGUGUGUGUGUGUGUGUGUGCUGCAGACUGUGACGCUGCGCUCUUCGAGAACACACUGCGUCUGCGGGAUCUCCGUGUGGAUGUGGAGGAGCAGCUGCAGGACCAGAUGAAGACGCUCGACACCCUGAAGAAGGACUACGACACACUGAGCAAGAAGGUGACAGGAACACACACACACACCAUACAUGCACACACACACACACACACACACACGUGCACACACACAGCUUUCCUUCUGUCCAUCCAGCCUAAAGAGUGUGCAUGUGUGUGUGUGCAUGCAUNNNNNNNNNNNNNNNNNNNNNNNNNNNNNNNNNNNNNNNNNNNNNNNNNNNNNNNNNNNNNNNNNNNNNNNNNNNNNNNNNNNNNNNNNNNNNNNNNNNNCUGCGCCUGCAUCAGGUGCGUCACACACACACACACACACAGGCAACAUAAUGAGACAUCAGAGUGA